UAUGUUUUACUGGGUACAUCAUUGUAGAAUAUCCAUGGAUAAGUUACAAGGAAGUCAUUAAGACAUUAUUUGGAAACGAAAGAAUACUGUAGGAAGGUUAACAUCGCAGAUAGAAAUUAUCCACGUGACCCUAACACAGAAAGAAUGAAUUUUUGGUGGACAACCUACACAAGAGCUCACAUGCUGCACAAGGCAUGGAGACUAGAUACGUAUACUGGAUUAAUAUUUGCUAUGGUCCUUGCAGCAGUUUUAUCUUUCGUAUUUGAAUUCAUGGACAUUAUAAAGCUAAAAUUUCUUAAAACAUGCUGGCCUGAUCGAAGAUUUCUUCGAGCCUCAAAUUGCAGUCUCUUCUCC